UUUUUUAUUUCUAUUUAUAUUUUUUUCUUUAAUGUACAACCCAUUUAGGGUUACAACAAAACAAACUCAUAACAAAAAACAAAAGCAGACUAAGGAACAAGUGAACAACAGUCAUCAGCGGCGCCUCCACCUUCAGCAACCACCACCGCUCGCUCCGGUCGUCCUCCUCCGCCGACAGCCUUCCUCCUCCACUCUAGCCGACAGCCUUCCUCCUCCGGCAGUUCUUCACAGAUGUCACAAAGAAAACAAUGAAAACUUAUUUGUGGUGGUGAAUUGUUUGGUGGGCCAACAUGUGUGACGCACUGAAAAGAAAUCUUUAGGUGUGAUUCUUUUGGGCUUUGGCCUCAUACGCAAGAAACAAUACAAAGGGUUUUUUGGUUGGUUAUUUAAUAAAGGGUUAUUGGAUUUUAUCACCUUCAACUAUCGAUUUUUGGACGUUGUCACCCUCAACUAACACUUUGACACCCGACACCUCCAACUUGACUUUUAGUUUGUGCUGGCACCACUCUGUUAACUCAUUACUAACAGAGUUAGUUUCUGAUCCUACGUUUCACAAACAAGCUUACGUGGACAUGAUGACAUGGCGAAUUCGUGGCACUAUAUCUCUAUAUAAAAACCUGCAUUGCUCAUAAGAAUGAUCUAAACCCAUUUUCCGACUCGUUAUUGCUCCGGCAACCGAUGAUAUCAGAUUCCAAUGCGUCAAUUUCACCCCCUUAGUGUUUCCGGUAGUUCUUUACGAGUACAAAAUCACCGUCGUAUCCUACUGCGAAACCAAAACGUCAAUUUUCACAUCAGAAAACUCAGAUCCGUUCAAUCGAUCAACUCGCAUCAUCGGUUAGAACUCAAUCGAUUCGAUUACAACGAUCCGGUUACUAAAUCCGGUUCUUCUGAUACCUUCUGAACCGAUUCAACCGUAGCGAAAAUAACCGCCAGUUUACAAAUCCGGAUCUGGCGCGAAAUCUCGGAGAUCAAGCUAGCAGGAUUCGCCGGAGAAAUGGUUACACCAACGGAAAGUAGAGAGAGAAACAAAAUCGGAAGAUAAGAUGAGUUAUGAGAGAUAAUAAAAGCACAAUUACCUUUCGUAAGAGACGGAGUACGGCGGCGAGGUUGCGUACGAAGAACUUGACGUCGGUGUACGGGAUACGGUGGCGUGUUGUGGCGUCGAUUAGCGAUCCGGCGGUUGUUUUGGUGGUGUUGAGGAGAGAGAAGAUGAAGUCAGUUACUGAUAAAUGUGUCGCUUGUGGAGGAAGAAAAGAUAGAGAUAUAGUGCCACGAAUUCGCCAUGUCAUCCUGUCCACGUAAGCUUGUUUGUGACACGUAGGAUCAGAAACUAACUCUGUUAGUAAUGAGUAACAAAGUGGUGCCAACACAAACAAAAAGUCAAGUUGGAGAUGUCGGGUGUCAAAGUGUUAGAUGGGGGUGGCAACGGCGAAAGGCCAAUAGUUGGGGGUGAUAAAAUCCGAUAACCCUUUAAUAAAUAUUAGAUGUAUGCAAGAAAGUGAUUAGGGUUUUAUGCCCCUGCCGACUUCUAUUUUGACGCAAGAGAAGAGAAGAAAAUUUGUGAUCUCCAUUCUUGGGUGUUGUGAAGACAAGAGGCGUUCAAAAGAUUAAACUACAAUUUUCUUUGGUCAUACUUCUUACUCGUCUUUUGUUUAUUUUGUUCCAUAUACUUUAAGUUUGUGCCAAGUAUAUGAUGUUUUUGUAUACCUUUAGUUUUACCUAAAAAAGACUUUUGUAUUGCUCUAUUUUGGUGAUAGUGGAUUUGAAGCGGCUCUAGUAGUCUCGUGGUUUUUUA